rnacentral:tRNA from 1 species
GCUGAGCUAAUUUAAUAAAAAUGUCUCUUUGUGGUAGAGGAUAUGGUGCCGCUACCGCUUAGUG